AUUUGUUUUGAGGAAGCCACUUCUAACAAGGAUUGGAAUUCCUCCAUGUCAGUCGAGUAAUCUUAGUCUAUAACAGAGACCCAUGAAUCCACGAUGACGAUGAAAGCGUUAAUUACAACUUAGCAGCAGCAGCAACAACAACGACGAAGCAAAGCUCAAUCACCACCACCACCACCAAGUAAUGGCAACGAAUCUCCCAACCACCGUCAAUCCACCCUCCUCCUCCGCCUCCAACAACCUCUUCGCCGCCGCAGACAUGGGCACCAACUCCUUCAAACUCCUCAUCGUCCGCGCCGACCCCACCACCGGCCGCUUCCUCCAACUCGACCGCCUCAAACACCCCGUCGUCCUCGGCCGCGACACCCCUUCCUCCGCCAUCUCCGCCGCCUCCAUUCUCCGCGCCCUCGACUCCCUCCGCAAAUUCCACCAUCUACUCCUCUCCCACCACGUCUCCCCCUCCCGAACCCGCGUCGUUGCCACCUCCGCAAUCCGAGACGCCUCGAACCAAUCCCAAUUCCUCCACACCAUUCGCCAAACCCUAGGGUUCCAUGUCGAUGUCUUGUCCGGCGAAGAAGAGGCCCGAUUAACCUAUAUCGGUGUUCUUCAAUUUCUCCCUGUUUUCAAUCAAAAAGUCCUCACCAUCGAUAUCGGAGGUGGGUCGACUGAAUUCGUGAUUGGAAAAGAAGGGGAUGUUAUUUUCGCAACUUCGUUGAAGCUGGGGCAUGUAAUUCUAACUGAGGAAUUCGUGAAGAUGAAUGAAAUCGAUAGAAUGAGAGAUCACAUUCGAAGUUUGAUUCGACAAUCUGGGUUGAUUGAGAAGGUUUGUGAACAUGGUUUUGAACUUGUUAUCGGUUCUUCCGGUACCAUUCGUGCAAUUGAAAAGGCAGUUUUUCAUCGAUAUGGCCAGGGUUUGGAUAAUGUGGGGCUAAUUGAUGGGUAUAAGCGAGAUUGGAGGUUUAGCAGAGGAGAAUUGAGUGAUGUUGUUGGGAAGUUGUGUGGAAUGGAAGAGAAGUUUGAGAGAGAUGGGUUUUUCAAGAGGCGAUCGGAGUUUAUCGUGGCAGGUGCAGUGUUAUUGGAAGAGAUAUUUGGGAUGCUUGGCAUUGAGGAGAUGGAGGUUUCUGGGUAUUCAUUAGGGGAGGGUGUGGUUGCUGAACAACUAGCUGGUGUAUUUGAUGACUAUGAUUUAAAUGCAAAUGCUCGAUGGCGAUCUGUAGUGCGCCUUGCGACCAGGUUUAACAACAACAAGAAGAUGAAAUCUGCUGCAUUAUGUGCUGGCAUUGCAAAGGAAAUGUUUGAAGGUAUAAGUAAAUGGAAUGAACUUGGUGAUAGUGGAAACAAACUUGCAGACUCCUUAGUUGACAAGGAUCUUGAAUAUCUUGAAGCUGCUUGCUUACUUCACAAUAUUGGACUCUUUAAUGGAAAGAAGGGUUACCAUAAGCAGUCUUACCAUAUCAUCAUGAAUGGUGAUCAACUUCAUGGUUAUGAUUCUGAGGAGGUUAAGAUAAUCGCCCUACUUGCUAGACAUCACAGAAAGAAAUUUCCAAAAUUGGAUCAUCAUUCUCUUCAGGGAUUCACCAAAGAGGUAAAGCAGAAAUUCAGAAUCCUUUGUGCAAUCAUACGCGUAUCUGUUCUAUUACAGGAGUACAUGUCCAUCAACAUUCAAGAUAUGGAGUUUUCACAUUCUCAUGAAGGUUUCAAACUGGUCCUCAGUCAAACAAGAGACCAGCCUUUAGUGCCUGGUAAUGGCAAACCUUUAGCAAAGGAUGUUGAUGCAGAAUUAACAAACGAGUUGGAACAUUUUAGGGUGGUAUUUCAGCAGAAGUUGAUUCUUGUUCCUUCAAGCUCUUCAGCGUCAUCAGAGAGAUGAUCUUUUUGCAGAAGAUUCAACAAUACCAUUAAUCUGGAAGCUGCAUUUGCUCAAAUCGAAUGACCAAUUCCAUAAAUCCUUGGCAGAGAAUCUGGAGAAUGAAGAAUAAGAAUCUGGAUUGGGCCCUGCCUUGCUUGAAGAAUAAGACAUCAUAGAUCAAAUUGUCAGCGGUUUCAGAUUGCAGAAAUAUCCAUUUAAGGUUAUGUAGAAGUGCCUAUAGCAUAGUUGCAAUUACAUACCAGUCCAUGUCUUAGAAUGAAAAAAAGAAGGUUUUCAAUGAUGUGCUAUAUCUGUGGCUCAUGUACACCAUUCAAUUCCGAACUUGGAGGCUCUUUUGGCAGAACACCCACUGAACAAUGGUGGUCCUUUGGAACACAACUCUGUUGACUGAAUCAUCUGGGACUGCUACACAAACAUGUCAUGCCCUGUUUUGAUGUUCCUGCCAAAUAAAUGAAGGAAGACUAACAUGAUGGGGGUCACCUUUUGAUUGAAAUUUGGGGGGUCAAGGCAAAGAUCUAGUGACCCAAGCUGGGAAAAAUGAAGUGGAGUCACCCAUUGUGGUUUAAAAAAUAUAGAAGAAAAAGUAGCUCAACCACCCCGUAAC